rnacentral:rRNA from 1 species
AAACUAACAAGGAUUCCCCUAGUAACGGCGAGUGAAGCGGGAAGAGCUCAAAUUUGAAAUCUGGUAGCCUUCGGUUGCCCGAGUUGUAAUCUAGAGAAGUGUUUUCCGCGUUGGCCCAUGUACAAGUCCCUUGGAACAGGGCGUCAUAGAGGGUGAGAAUCCCGUCCUUGACAUGGACCCCCAAUGCUUUGUGAUACACUUUCAACGAGUCGAGUUGUUUGGGAAUGCAGCUCAAAAUGGGUGGUGAAUUCCAUCUAAAGCUAAAUAUUGGCGAGAGACCGAUAGCGAACAAGUACCGUGAGGGAAAGAUGAAAAGCACUUUGGAAAGAGAGUUAAACAGUACGUGAAAUUGUUGAAAGGGAAACGAUUGAAGUCAGUCAUGCUCUUUGGAUUAAGCCGUUCUGCGGUGUAUUUCAUUGAGCGGGGUCAACAUCAGUUUUGAUCGCUGGAAAAGGGCAGGAGGAAGGUAGCACUCUCGGGUGAACUUAUAGCCUCUUGUCGUAUACAGUGAUUGGGACUGAGGGACGCAGCAUGCCUUUUGGCCGGGAUUCGUCCACGUACAUGCUUAGGAUGUUGACAUAAUGGCUUUAAACGGACCCGUCUUGAAACACGG